CUUGUUCCAUAAACCAAGUACUUCAGUCAGUGCGCUAUGCCAAUGUCGCUAGCUCUACACGCCUAUGUGAUAAUAAGGAUGACAGAAAUAACCCUGUGGAGGGAGUAAGAUCACUACAAAGCAGAAAACUGCAAGACAACCAAAGGACCCUAGAGACUUCUGUAUGCUGUGACAUGGGCCUGGAUGGUGAAACAUCUGCUUCCAGCUGCUUGACUAUUGGGGCCUUCAGUUUUACCUUACAUCACAGCAAGAGUCUCCUUAUCUCUGUCUCAUAGUCAUUUAACAUGUAUUAUGUGUCCACUCAUUCAUGAAAACUGCUACAGACACAAGAAUUGCACCUGAGUGAUGAUAGCCAGCUAGCCGAGCCAUUGCGUGAGAGAUCAAAUCAAACUUUGUCACAUGCACCGAAUACAACAAGUGUGGACUUUACCUUAAAAUGCUUACUUACAAGCCCUUAACCAACAGUGCAGAUCAAUAAGAAAAUAUUUACCAAGUA